rnacentral:rRNA from 1 species
UACGAAGGGGGCUAGCGUUGCUCGGAAUCACUGGGCGUAAAGCGCACGUAGGCGGAUCUUUAAGUCAGGGGUGAAAUCCCAAGGCUCAACCUUGGAACUGCCUUUGAUACUGGGGAUCUCGAGUCCGGAAGAGGUUGGUGGAACUGCGAGUGUAGAGGUGAAAUUCGUAGAUAUUCGGAAGAACACCAGUGGCGAAGGCGACUCACUGGACAUGUAUUGACGCUGAGGUGCGAAAGCGUGGGGAGCAAACAGG